rnacentral:rRNA from 1 species
CACGGAGUUAGCCGGGGCUUCUUUACUGGGUACAGUCAUUAUCUUCCCCAGCGAAAGAGCUUUACAACCCUAAGGCCUUCAUCGCUCACGCGGCAUGGCUAGAUCAGGCUUGCGCCCAUUGUCUAAGAUUCCCCACUGCUGCCUCCCGUAGGAGUCUGGGCCGUGUCUCAGUCCCAGUGUGGCUGGUCAUCCUCUCAAACCAGCUAUGGAUCGUCGCCUUGGUGAGCCAUUACCUCACCAACAAGCUAAUCCAACGCGGGCCGAUCUUUUGCCGAUAAAUCUUUCCUCCGAAGAGCACAUCCGGUAUUACUCCCAGUUUCCCGAGGCUAUUCCGAAGCAAAAGGUACGUUCCCACGUGUUACUCACCCGUCCGCCACUACACCCGAAGGUGCCGUUCGACUUGCAUGUGUUAGGCCUGCCGCCAGCGUUCAUUCUGAGCCAGGAUCAAACUC